rnacentral:rRNA from 1 species
AAAGAAACCAACAGGGAUUGCCCUAGUAACGGCGAGUGAAGCGGCAACAGCUCAAAUUUGAAAUCUGGCUCUCGGGCCCGAGUUGUAAUUUGUAGAGGAUGCUUUUGAUGCGGUGCCUUCCGAGUUCCCUGGAACGGGACGCCAUAGAGGGUGAGAGCCCCGUCUGGUUGGAUGCCAAAUCUCUGUAAAGCUCCUUCGACGAGUCGAGUAGUUUGGGAAUGCUGCUCUAAAUGGGAGGUAUAUGUCUUCUAAAGCUAAAUACCGGCCAGAGACCGAUAGCGCACAAGUAGAGUGAUCGAAAGAUGAAAAGCACUUUGAAAAGAGAGUUAAAAAGUACGUGAAAUUGUUGAAAGGGAAGCGUUUAUGACCAGACUUGGGCUUGGUUAAUCAUCUGGGGUUCUCCCCAGUGCACUUUUCCAGUCCAGGCCAGCAUCAGUUUUCGCCGGGGGAUAAAGGCUUCGGGAAUGUGGCUCUCUCCGGGGAGUGUUAUAGCCCGUUGCGUAAUACCCUGGCGGGGACUGAGGUUCGCGCAUCUGCAAGGAUGCUGGCGUAAUGGUCAUCAACGACCCGUCUUGAAACACGGACCAAGGAGUCGUCUUCGUAUGCGAGUGUUCGGGUGUCAAACCCCUACGCGUAAUGAAAGUGAACGCAGGUGAGAGCUUCGGCGCAUCAUCGACCGAUCCUGAUGUUCUCGGAUGGAUUUGAGUAAGAGCAUACGGGGCCGGACCCGAAAGAAGGUGAACUAUGCCUGUGUAGGGUGAAGCCAGAGGAAACUCUGGUGGAGGCUCGCAGCGGUUCUGACGUGCAAAUCGAUCGUCAAACAUGGGCAUGGGGGCGAAAGACUAAUCGA